GCCGGGAUGGCAGAAUCAGGUAAUGCGCUGGACUCGAGAUCCAGUGCCCUUUGGGCUCGAGAGUUCAAAUCUCUCUCCCGGCG
rnacentral:tRNA from 6 species